GGCUAACGCUGGCGGCGUGUCUUAGCCAUGCAAGUCGAGGGCGAAAUUCCCCUUCGGGGGAGGAGUAGACCGGCGGACGGCGGAGUAACACGUGGCUAACCUGUCUCCGGGAAAGGGAUAACCCAUCGAAAGGUGGGCUAAUACCCUAUAAUGUCCUGCUGGGACAUCCUGGCGGGAUGAAAGGUGGGCCUCUGCUAUGCAAGCUCGCGCCCGGGGAGGGGGCCGCGGCCUAUCAGGUAGUUGGUGGGGUAAAGGCUCACCAAGCCUGAGACGGGUAGCCGGCGUGAGAGCGUGGCCGGUCCGAGGGGCACUGAGACACGGGCCCCACUCCUACGGGAGGCAGCAGGCUAGAAAUUUGGGCAAUGGGGGAAACCCUGACCCAGCGACGCCGCGUGCGGGAGGAAGCCCUUCGGGGUGUAAACCGCUGUCAGGGAGGACGAUGGGGUUAUGGGCGAAUAGUCCAUGACUUUGACGGUACUUCCAGAGGAAGCCCUGGCUAACCUCGUGCCAGCAGCCGCGGUAAUACGGGGAGGGCAAGCGUUGCCCGGAUUCACUGGGCUUAAAGGGGGCGCAGGCAGCCUGGCAAGUCGGGCGUGUAAUCCACCGGCUCAACCGGUGGGCUGCGUCCGAAACUGUCAGGCUCGAGGGCGGCAGAGGAGAGCGGAACUCCCGGUGUAGCGGUGAAAUGCGCAGAUAUCGGGGGGAAUACCAGUGGGGAAGCCGGCUCUCUGGGCCGUCCCUGACGCUCAGGCCCGAAAGCCAGGGGAGCGAAGGGGAUUAGAUACCCCCGUAGUCCUGGCUGUAAACGAUGCGGGCUAGGUGUGGGGGCCUUUGGGUCUCCGUGCCGUAGGGAAACCGUUAAGCCCGCCGCCUGGGGACUACACUCGCAAGGGUGAAACUCAAAGGAAUUGACGG
rnacentral:rRNA from 1 species